UACGAAGGGGGCUAGCGUUGUUCGGAAUCACUGGGCGUAAAGCGCACGUAGGCGGAUCUUUAAGUCAGGGGUGAAAGCCCACGGCUCAACCGUGGAGGGUCAUUGGAAACUGGGGGACUUGAGUGCAGAAGAGGAAAGCGGAAUUCCACGUGUAGCGGUGAAAUGCGUAGAUAUUGGGAGGAACACCAGUGGCGAAGGCGGCUCACUGGACCGGAACUGACGCUGAGGCGCGAAAGCGUGGGGAGCAAACAGG
rnacentral:rRNA from 1 species